GCCUCCGACUUAGGAAACACUAUCUGUCUCUCUAUCGCACUAAUAUGCGCAAUCGAUUGGCUUCUUGGCUAGGUAUCAUGGGUGCGUAGCCAACAUGCCAAUCGUUUACGAUACGACAACGAAACACUACUCUCUCUCUAUCGCACUAAUAUACGCAAACGAUUGGUAUUUUGGCUAGGCACUAAGCAAGUGUGUGGCCAACAUGCCAAUCGUUUACGAUACGACAACGAAACACUAUCUGUCUCUCUAUCGCACUAAUAUACUUUAUUUAUACCUGCAGUCAUUUAGUAACUUCUUCAUUUUCCAUUGGUGUGAAAGAGACAGAAUAAAGAGCAAGGGUUAUAGUACACUCUGUAGUCUGUACACUUAGUAGUAGUGUACAUAAAAAAAAAACCUACUAAGCAUAUACAAUAAAAUAAAGAGUGCCCAUAUGAUAUCAUAUGACACUAAAAUUAAUGUUGCUUGAAAUUAUAUUGAAAACUAUCAAGAUUAUUCUAGUCUGCAUUGAAACGCGCGUCGCGUUGCCGGCGCUCGCGUACCGAGCGCCAACGCCAUCUAUCGAGCGUUAUUUCGUGAAAUCGGAGAACGCUCCAAGGAUUAAGGGCUCUUAAGACAC